AUUGAACGCUGGCGGCAUGCUUUACACAUGCAAGUCGAACGGUAACAGGCCGCAAGGUGCUGACGAGUGGCGAACGGGUGAGUAAUGCAUCGGAACGUGCCCAGUCGUGGGGGAUAACGCAGCGAAAGCUGCGCUAAUACCGCAUACGAUCUAUGGAUGAAAGCGGGGGACCGUAAGGCCUCGCGCGAUUGGAGCGGCCGAUGUCAGAGUAGGUAGUUGGUGGGGUAAAGGCUCACCAAGACGACGAUCUGUAGCUGGUCUGAGAGGACGACCAGCCACACUGGGACUGCGACACGGCCCAGACUCCUACGGGAGGCAGCAGUGGGGAAUUUUGGACAAUGGGCGCAAGCCUGAUCCAGCAAUGCCGCGUGCAGGAAGAAGGCCUUCGGGUUGUAAACUGCUUUUGUACGGGAAGAAACGGUGAAGGCUAAUAUCCUUUGCUAAUGACGGUACCUGAAGAAUAAGCACCGGCUAACUACGUGCCAGCCGCCGCCGUAA
rnacentral:rRNA from 1 species